AUAAGCCAACUGUGCUUCGAAAGGGUUCAACAUACUUUGUGUCUUCGACACUUGCUACAAUGUACCUCGACACCUUGCCUUUAUUCUCACCAACCAGGUGAUGAAAUGUGAAGAAAGAACUCAUCUUCAUGCCACUAACCAGGUGAUGAAAUGUACAACCCGUACUCUCCUUCAUGCCACAAACCAAGUGAUGAACUGUACAUCCCGUACUCUAAUAUCAUUUGGCAACUUGCCACUCAUGCCACCAACCAGGUGAAGAAUGAACUCAUCUUCAUGCCACAAACCAGGUGAUGAAAUGUACAACUCGUACUCUCCUUCAUGCCACCAACCAGGUGAAGAAGGAACUCAUCUUCAUGCCACUAACCAGGUGAUGAGAUAUACAACCUGUACUUUAAUAUCAUUUGGCAACUUGCCAUUCAUGCCACCAACCAGGUGAAGAAGGAACUCAUUCUCGUGCCACCAACCAGGUGAUGAAAUGUGAUGAAAGGUGAUGAAGGAACUGACCUUCAUACCACCAACCAAGUGAUGAAAGCAACUCACCAUUCAUUCCACCUACCAGAAGACAAGUGGUACAACUUGUACAUGUGAACUCCUAGCAUUCACAAAUAAUCAAAAACCCUCAAGCUUGACAACUUAACUAGGGGAGCACAUAUGCCCAACAAGAGCUUCAUCGAAGGAGUUCAACCACAAUUCUCAAAAGUUUCACACUCUUGAUCAAGACAGUGUGAAGCAACACCAAUUUAUGGUGCCAACAAGAGCUUCAUCAAUGGAGGGCAACUACAAUUCUCAAAAGCUUCACACUCUUGAUCAAGACAUUGUGAAGCAAAACCAAUUUAUGGUGCCAACAAAAGCUUCAUUAAUGGAAGGCAACCACAAUUCUCAAAAGCUUCACACACUCUUAAUCAAGACAGUGUGAAGUAAAACCAAUUUAUGGUGCCAACAAGAGCUUCAUCAAUGGAAGGCAACCAUAAUUCUCAAAAACUUCACACUCUUGAUCAAGACUAUGUGAAGCAAAACCAAUUUAUGGUGCCAAUAAGAGCUUUAUCAAAGGAGUUCAACCACAAAUCUCAAAAGCUUCACACACUCUUAAUCAAGACAGUAUGAAGCAAAACCAAUUUAUGGUGCCAACAAAAGCUUCAUCAAAGGAGUUCAACCACAAUUCUCAAAAGCUUCACUCUUGAUCAAGAUAGUGUGAAGCAAAACCAAUUUAUGGUGCCAAUAAAAGCUUCAUCAAUGGAGGGCAACUACAAUUCUCAAACCUUCGAAGCAAAUUCAAGACUAUUCGAUGCAAAUUCAAUUUAUAUGGUUAAUCCAAACUUUCGACUACUACAAGGUGUGGCUAGCAUCACAAUCUCUUGCUCAACAGUGUGAAAGCAAAAUUUGUAUAUGUUGUCUCUCCCACAUUUUCAAAUUUCUAGUUUCCUAAAAAAAAAAAAAAAAGGGAAAUUCAACAAAGCUUCAUCAAUGGAGGGCAACUAUAAAUUCUCAAAAGCUUCACCAACAAAAGCUUCAUCAGUGGAGGACAACUACAAAUUCUCAAAAACUUCACACUAUCUUGAUCAAGAUAGUGUGAAGCAAAAUCAAUUCGUGGUACCCAACAAAAGCUUCAACUCCAAAUCUUCACCAACAAAAGCUUCAUCAAUGGAGGACAACUACAAAUUCUCAAAAGCUUCACACUAUCUUGAUCAAGAUAGUAUGAAGCAAAAUCAAUUCAUGGUA
rnacentral:lncRNA from 1 species